rnacentral:rRNA from 1 species
GAGUUUGAUCCUGGCUCAGAACGAACGCUGGCGGCAGGCCUAACACAUGCAAGUCGAGCGAGGACUUCGGUCCUAGCGGCGGACGGGUGAGUAACGCGUGGGAACGUGCCCUUUGCUACGGAAUAGCCCCGGGAAACUGGGAGUAAUACCGUAUGUGCCCGAGAGGGGAAAGAUUUAUCGGCAAAGGAUCGGCCCGCGUUGGAUUAGGUAGUUGGUGGGGUAAUGGCCUACCAAGCCGACGAUCCAUAGCUGGUUUGAGAGGAUGAUCAGCCACACUGGGACUGAGACACGGCCCAGACUCCUACGGGAGGCAGCAGUGGGGAAUCUUAGACAAUGGGGGAAACCCUGAUCUAGCCAUGCCGCGUGAGCGAUGAAGGCCUUAGGGUUGUAAAGCUCUUUCAGUGGGGAAGAUAAUGACGGUACCCACAGAAGAAGCCCCGGCUAACUCCGUGCCAGCAGCCGCGGUAAC